UGUUGAUUUUUUUAACAGCAGCUCUGAUGAAGUAUUCCUAGAUACUAAACCUUCUAAACUAAACUUCUGAGCCCAGACGACCAUCAUCAUGUAUCUGGAGAUCAGAUGUCUCCGUAGACCAAAAAUCUGCUGUAGCAGUCACUCUGGAAUAGUGAUGAACAGACACCUGCCCAUCACAAUCAGUCACAAUCAGUCACAAUCAGUUGCAGUCAGUCACUUCCAUAUUAUUGGACCUUCUCGCAGUCACUCUCAACACCUCAGCCAAUCACCUCUCACACCUGGAAUCCACCCCUGUUCCUUUGUUUGAAGCCCAUCAGCUUCAUUCAGUCACAGACAGUCACUGAACAGCAGGAUCACCCCACAGCACUCAUCUCUGGAAACCAUUCACUUUUUACAAGCCUGGAAACCUGGAAAUCACAGCAUCAAAGAGGACGCCUGCAACUGCCUUUGGAUUUCUGGAUGUCACCCACCUGAACCCACAUUGUGCUGAACAUUGAAUAUUGGUUAGGCUUGAACUGAUGGCGAGCUACCCUGGACCAAACUGGACAACCGUCUGACAUGUUUCACCCCUUCACCCACCCCACUCAUUGGCAGGUCUAAAGCCCCACAGCUUCA